GGUGCUGAUUGUCAGAGGGAAACAUAAGUGAAUGUUUUCAAGGGAAAAUGCAGCAUUUGCUGAGAUCCAGAAGUGCCUGAGGAGUUGCUGUGAUGUAUUAUGGGGUUCUUAGUUUCAACAACUUCACUGCAGGCCUUCAUUCAAUCUGCAGGCAUUGGAGCAAGGUUUACAGGGGAGAACAGGCACCCAACAG